rnacentral:tRNA from 1 species
GCGCCCAUAGCUCAGCUGGAUAGAGCACAAGCCUUCUAAGCUUGGGGUCGGGAGUUCGAAUCUCUCUGGGCGUGC